rnacentral:rRNA from 1 species
CCUACGGGAGGCAGCAGUGGGGAAUAUUGCACAAUGGGGGAAACCCUGAUGCAGCGACGCCGCGUGAGGGAAGAAGUAAUUCGUUACGAAAAGCCCUAUCAGCAGGGAAGAAAAUGACGGUACCCGAGUACGAAUCCCCGUCUAACUACGUGCCAGAAGCCGCGGUAAUACGUAGGGGGCAAGCGUUAUCCGGAUUUACUGGGGGUAAAGGGGGCGUAGGCGGGUCGCCAAGUCUGGAGUGAAAUGCCGCAGGUUACCUGCGGAACUGCUUUGGAAACUGGCAAACUCGAGUGCGGGAGGGGUAAGCGGAAUUCCUGGUGUAGCGGUGAAAUGCGUAGAUAUUAGGAGGAACACCGGUGGCGAAGGCGGCUUACUGGACCGUAACUGACGCUGAGGCACGAAAGCGUGGGGAGCAAACAGGAUUAGAUACCCUGGUAGUC